rnacentral:tRNA from 2 species
GCGUGUGUAGUACAGCGGUAGUAUGGAUGCUUCCCAAGCAUUUGAUCCGGGUUCGACUCCCGGCACUCGCA